rnacentral:rRNA from 1 species
AAAAGAAACCAACCGGGAUUGCCUCAGUAACGGCGAGUGAAGCGGCAAGAGCUCAAAUUUGAAAGCUGGCUCCUUCGGGGUCCGCAUUGUAAUUUGCAGAGGAUGCUUCGGGUGCAGCCCCCGUCUAAGUGCCCUGGAACGGGCCGUCAUAGAGGGUGAGAAUCCCGUAUGGGGCGGGGUGUCUGCGUCCGUGUGAAGCUCCUUCGACGAGUCGAGUUGUUUGGGAAUGCAGCUCUAAAUGGGUGGUAAAUUUCAUCUAAAGCUAAAUACUGGCCGGAGACCGAUAGCGCACAAGUAGAGUGAUCGAAAGAUGAAAAGCACUUUGAAAAGAGAGUUAAACAGCACGUGAAAUUGUUGAAAGGGAAGCGCUUGCAACCAGACUCGCUCGCGGGGUUCAGCCGGGCUUCGGCCCGGUGUACUUCCCCGUGGGCGGGCCAGCGUCGGUUUGGGCGGCCGGUCAAAGGCCUCCGGAAUGUAGCGCCCUUCGGGGCGCCUUAUAGCCGGAGGUGCAAUGCGGCCAGCCUGGACCGAGGAACGCGCUUCGGCACGGACGCUGGCAUAAUGGUUGUAAACGACCCGUCUU